rnacentral:rRNA from 1 species
AUUGAACGCUGGCGGCAGGCCUAACGCAUGCAAGUCGAGCGGGGUUUUCGGACCUAGCGGCGGACGGGUGAGUAAUGCGUAGGAAGCUGCCCGAUAGAGGGGGAUACCAGUUGGAAACGACUGUUAAUACCGCAUAAUGUCUACGGACCAAAGUGUGGGACCUUCGGGCCACAUGCUAUCGGAUGCGCCUACGUGGGAUUAGCUAGUUGGUGAGGUAAUGGCUCACCAAGGCGACGAUCACUAGCUGGUUUGAGAGGAUGAUCAGCCACACUGGAACUGAGACACGGGCCAGACUCCUGCUGGAGGCAGCAGUGGGGAAUAUUGGACAAUGGGCGCAAGCCUGAGCCAGCCAAGCCGCGUGUGUGAAGAAGGCCUUCGGGUUGUAAAGCACUUUCAGCGAGGAGGAAGGGGUGUGUGUUAAUAGUACACACCUUUGACGUUACUCGCAGAAGAAGCACCGGCUAACUCUGUGCCAGCCGCCGCGGUAAAAC